AUCUAUGCUAUUGAGUCUUUAUUUUUCAGAUCUUCAUAUGUCAUGUCUAGUCAUGUGUUAAAUUGUUCUUUGUAAAUUUCUGAGUAUAAAAUUGGUUUGGCACAACCUCACUGUUUUGAUUGAGUUUUUUUCAAAAAGAUUCACAUAUAGAAGCAAUGAUCUAAAGAGCUUCUAAGAUUCAACGUUGUCUUACAGUGCAUUGGUUCACUGGAACAACUGGAAUCUGGUUGUAUUAGGCUGUUUGAUAUGAUUUCUGCAUUGUUUUGUGAAUCUGUUUGCAUCUGAAAUCUAGUUCUGCAUUGCCGUGAAGUGAUUGUGCUGUGAUGGUGAAGUUGUUUACCAUAUGAACAGUGAAUUGGCUUAAGUCAAUUGAAGUGUAGCAUCCAUUUACACUUCCAACAAUCCAGUUCUGCAGUAGUCCGAACUGCAUCAUCCUAGUUGGAAAUUUUCUCUGCUUUUUGUGGUUUUUAAAUCUGGUUUGGCACAUUAAUCUUUGCUGAACAUCUUCAAAUAUUUUCUAGAGUCUUUCUUCAAUUUGAGUGAGCUGUCUAGAACUGUUAUACCUCUUUGCAGUUCAUUUAGAAUCAUGUUUCUGAAAUUUGCAUGGUGAAUGGUUAAAAUUUUGUUGAUAAGAGCAACUCACAUGGUGAAAUUUUGAGUUACACGUUUCCAGCCUCUGCUGCCAACUUAGACACGUCUAUUUGGGUUAAACAAACUUGCUUCCAGUGCUAAAAUGAGUAUUCAUACAUCUUUGUCAAGUCUGCUGAAAUUUGGCUGAUUAUUGUGGUCAAAUUUAGUGUAAUUUGCAACUGGAAUAGCCAUAUUCUGUUUUAAGGUCAUUCAGUCUCUUUUGGCAGCUGAUAUAAGUCACAAUUGAUAAAACAAAGUUGCUCAAACAUUGAAAUUGGACUUCUAAUCACUGCUGUGCAUUUUGACCAUUCAAUCCACCAAGUUUUGGAUAUUGUUUCUGGUAUAGUUGCAGAAUCUGUUUGUGCUUAUGUGAUGAACUGUUGCAUUGAAUUUAAGUUCAUAUUGGUAGCAAAAGCUUGGUUCAAUUGAGUUAAAAACAGUGCAUGAUUAAAAUUAAGCAAAAACAUACCAUUUGCACAGUAAAAAGCUUCGAACCAGUGCCAAUCAGUCACGAAAUUUUACUCUGGUGCAGCACAGUUUCAACAGUUCAUUCAGACAUUUCAUCAAACACUUUGGUCAAUUAUUAAAUCUGAGUUGAAUUGAUCGAUUCUGCAACUUCCAAUUGUUUCUUGUUUUUUAAUCCACUUUAAAACUAUUCCUAAGUUCCUUUUGAAGUACCAGCUAUUAUUGAACCCAUUUAAUUUCUUGAUUUUUUUGCUUGAUUGGAAUUCUGCCCACCAACUGUUUGUGAUAUUCACAGUGGGCCGUUGUUGAUUGCAUCUGCUGCAGCAGUUUAUUCAUUCAAAAUUCUGCAUUAACCUUGUUGGUUAUGGAUCCGUGUGAGUGUUUUGAUGGUUGCAGAUCAGUUACAGAUGGCUUUGCAUUGCUGGUAGCAUAUUAGAAAGAGGAUUGGUGAGAGUGAAGAUUGGAUUGAAGUUGGUUUUGGCAGCAGUCAAACAAUUCUCGUUGCUGCAGCAGAAUUGUUACAGAUCUGCAUAAUUGACAGUAACCUCUGGUGCAGUUUUGACACAGAUACAGAAUUGAAAGAUUUACUUCCGCAGUUGAGAGCUUUGUGAUUGAAUCCAGCAGAUUCAAAUUCUUUGAGAGCAACCAAAGCUGCACACAUCAANNNN
rnacentral:lncRNA from 1 species